UACAACAUAGCGUUAAUGCACUAGAUCCCAUUAGAACUUUGCAGUUAAGCACACUCAAGCUAGAGUAGUACUGGGAUGGGUGAUCGCUUGGGAAGUCCUAAUGUUUUAC
rnacentral:rRNA from 1 species